CCUACGGGAGGCAGCAGUAGGGAAUCUUCCACAAUGGGCGAAAGCCUGAUGGAGCAACGCCGCGUGGGUGAAGAAGGUCUUCGGAUCGUAAAACCCUGUUGUUAGAGAAGAAAGUGCGUGAGAGUAACUGUUCACGUUUCGACGGUAUCUAACCAGAAAGCCCCGGCUAACUACGUGCCAGCAGCCGCGGUAAUACGUAGGUGGCAAGCGUUAUCCGGAGUUAGUGGGAGUAAAGGGAACGCAGGCGGUCUGUUAAGUCUGUUGUGAAAGCCGUCGGCGUAACCGGGGUAGUGAAUGGGAAACUGGGAGACUUGAGUGCAGAAGAGGAAAGUGGAACUACAUGUGUAGCGGUGAAAUGCGUAGAUAUAUGGAAGAACACCAGUGGCGAAGGCGGCUCUCUGGUCUGGAACUGACGCUGAGGUUCGAAAGCGUGGGGAGCAAACAGGAUUAGAUACCCCUGUAGUC
rnacentral:rRNA from 1 species